rnacentral:RNase_P_RNA from 2 species
GGGAGAGAGAGCCUGGCUGCCGCGAUGCGUCCGCCGGCGACGGCGGACUCACCAGGGGUGUGCGUCCCUCCGGGACGCGCAACCACAACGUGAUUCAUCCCGUUGGGAUGGAUCACGCCCGCGAGGAAAGUCCCCCCACCUGUUCGGGCAGGUGACCGGACGCAAGUCCGGAGCGGGAGACCGCUGGCUCUGGAACAGAAACGACACGUCUCGGCCCGACCGAUGAUGCGUGCGAACCCGACCGAGAGGAAGGGGAGUUGACCCGCUGAGGGAGUGUGGUCGCUUCGUCACACGGUUCGAACCCGUGGAUCGCGUUCGACGCGAUCGACCGCACCCUGACGGCCGAGGAUCGAUGGAACGGCGAACCCUCACCGGUGCAAGUCCGCGCCGUGGUAGCCCGAACGCCCCGCGACCGCUUUGCGGUCGCGGACGGCGCGGACGCUCAGCCGAAUGCCGGGACGAACAGAAGGGGGCUUACUCCUCUCACCC